GACGAACGCUGGCGGCGUGCUUAACACAUGCAAGUCGAGCGGUAAGGCCCUUUCGGGGGUACACGAGCGGCGAACGGGUGAGUAACACGUGGGUGACCUGCCCUCAGCUCUGGGAUAAGCCUGGGAAACCGGGUCUAAUACUGGAUAUGACUCCAUGACGCAUGUUGUGGGGUGGAAAGCCUUGUGCGGCUGAGGAUGGGCCCGCGGCCUAUCAGCUUGCUGGUGGGGUGAUGGCCUACCAAGGCGACGACGGGUAGCCGGCCUGAGAGGGCGACCGGCCACACUGGGACUGAGACACGGCCCAGACUCCUACGGGAGGCAGCAGUGGGGAAUCUUGCGCAAUGGGCGAAAGCCUGACGCAGCGACGCCGCGUGAGGGAUGACGGCCUGGUGUAAC
rnacentral:rRNA from 1 species